CCUANGGGGGGCAGCAGUGAGGAAUCUUGCGCAAUGGACGAAAGUCUGACGGAGCGACGCCGCGUGGAUGACGAAGGCCGAAAGGUUGUAAAAUCCUUUUGUUGGGGAAGAAUAAGCGUGGGAGGAAAUGCCCGCGUGAUGACAUGAACCGACGAAUAAGCCCCGGCUAACUACGUGCCAGCAGCCGCGGUAACACGUAGGGGGCAAGCGUUGUUCGGAAUUACUGGGCGUAAAGGGCAUGUAGGCGGCCUUGUAAGCCUGGCGUGAAAGUCACCGGCUCAACCGGUGGAUUGCGUCGGGAACUGCAGGGCUUGAGUCACGGAGGGGAAGGUAGAAUUCCUGGUGUAGGGGUGAAAUCUGUAGAGAUCAGGAAGAAUACCAGUGGCGAAGGCGACCUUCUGGCCGAUGACUGACGCUGAGGUGCGAAAGUGUGGGGAUCAAACAGGAUUAGAUACCCUANUAGUC
rnacentral:rRNA from 1 species